UUGGUAUCAGAGCCAUAGGUUUCAUUGAAUUAGGUUUCUGUAGAGAUACCUAGGCUCUAACCUCACUUUCCUCUGGGGACUUAGAUUAAUAAGACGUUGAAUACACACAGAAUGCCUAGUACUCGAAUAUGGGUUCCAACCGUUGCCGAAAACAAUGAGUUAACAAUUUUGAUUUCAAACAUACGCAAAUGUUGUGUUGAUACACGGUUCACGAAACAGAUUCAUACCUUAAGCAAAACUUUGAGAGUUUGGGAUAACAUGCAUUUUGGACCUUUGUAAAGCUUAGGUCGAAACUCAUUAAAGGUCCUCACUUAGAAACCGUGACUAACAACUCGGGCAAACGCCAUUAUAUUAUGUCGUCUAUGCUAUCUUACUUACCCGAGCAGGUAACCUACGCAGAACGAAACGCUAGUGCACAGGUAUACAUGAAACUUAAACUAUACUUCAGCGGACGUCGAAGUACGUCACACACGACUUUCGAGGCAAGGCCUUGGGGAAAACACAAAUCGGCACGGCAACAACGAUGCUAAUCCCGUCAGCGAGAGAACAACAACCGAAAUGCAGUACUUUGCCACAUGAUCUUGCAAAUGACACGAGUGAAGCUGAGGUACGUUAAAACAAGAUUUCACAACAAUCGAUACUUAGUCUGAAGAGACUCACACUUGUUGGCACUGCAAAAGAAGUCACAUGUCUCCGCAUCCCCCCUACUUCAUUAAUGGCGAUUACGCUAUGUUCGACAUUCCAUGGUAAUGUCAUCUAACAACCGAUCAUCACAUGAACUUCCAGGUAAAGUCCUUAAAUUUCUUUUGUUGAAAUUUCGACUUUUCGCAUAUAGUGAGUAGGUUUUCAUACCCCUACUCCUCCUAAUAGUCAUUGCAUCACGAGGACUUUAUUUCGAAAUAGCGAACACUCGAUUGCUUCAUUUCUUGACAAAUUCACAUGUUACGCAUGUUUUGUUUGUUACGCAUGCCGUUAGAUUGAUUUGUGACCGUGUUAUUGCAAAACGUUGACUCCUUGAUAUCGGGUCAACGAACUCGUUGAAACUCCUUUCCUUUCAAGCUACAUGCAUGGUUUUUCGUUGUGGCCAUGUCGAAACUUACUUGUUGACACAUGAAUUCAUUGUUGGAUUAUGUUUCAUCCAAGUUUAAUUGAUUGAACUUGCUCGUAAUAUAUAUUCGAUUCAAGAGUCCAUAUGAUGGGUAGAGGCCAUCAUAUUCGAAAUAAUCCCAACAAGCACUUCAUUUGCUUUGAACCAUAACAUGCUUGUUUGGUCUUCGACUUCAUUAAAUCGUUUCUUUGAUCACGAUCACCUUGUGGUGGCGUCUUUCACAAGUUUGAAGCUUGCGCUAAUCUUGUUGCUCACAUCAUGUACGGAUUUAGUUAUUUAUUUGUUUAUUGAUAUUAAAUCCGCUUUGUUGGUUUAUCAUAUUAAAGCAAUCUUAACACAAUCGUGUGUUAAGAUAAUGGUACACAAAUUUAUGUCAUAUUUCAGUGUACCUCUUAACGAUUCUUUGAGCAUCGAUCGAACAUUUUGUGAUAUUUAUUGCUCUUUUAUUUUCGAUCGAAAAACAUUAUUUAUUUGUUUCAAUAUCAAUUGAAAAUCCUAUGAGUUUUUUUUUUCUUCUUCGUUGAACCUUGCAUCUGAUUUCAAGACACGGUGAUACUUGUUCGGUCACCACUAUAAUUGAAUUAUUUCGAUCACUACGACACCUUGUGGUGUCGGUAUAAACUUGUAGCUUGGGCUAAUCAUAAUCGAGCGUUUCAUGCAAAUCACGGUGAUACUUGUUUGAUCACCGUUAUUAAUGAAUUGUUUCAUUCAUUACGACACCUUGUGGUGUCGGUAUAAACUUGUAGCUUGUGCUAAUCACGAUCAGUCGUUCAUGCGAAACUAUAUAUGCUUUUCGUUUGAUUCAUCAUUUAAAUGGUCUUAAUGCAACUAUGAAUUAAGACGAUGAUACACCAGGUUCGGUUGUAUUUCGUUUCGGUGUAUCCUUGCGACUCAAUAAUGUCAACACGUUGAUUUAUUUUCAUUUAAUGGUUCGAUAGUUGACAAAUCGUUUUCAUGAUUCUAUUUAUUUGAGCUUGUUGAAUUCGAGUGUCAAUCAUACGACGAUCGACACAAGGUUUCCGUUGGCAGUAAAUUCUAUUGUUUCAAAAUUGAUUGCAUAUUAUGAACGUUCAUUUGGAAUUCUAUUCGUUGAAUUUCCUAUUUGGAUUGGACCCCCACAAACUUAGCCGCAUUGGUGAUAGUAUCACUACACUUCGUUCACUUGAUAUUGAUUUCUUGAACAAACUCAGUUGAACCGUUGGGUUUUUAUUGAUACAAAACGACAUUGAAUUAACAUAAUUUGCGUAAGACUUGAUUCGAUUACGCGGUCAUUCACUUUGGUAUUUUUCGGACUUACCUGCGAAACAACAAAACUUGGAGGAUAUAACAUAGUCUAAAUUUCGAGGACGAAAUUUCUUCAACAGGGGGAGAAUGUCACAACUGGUAAUUAACGCCUCUUAAUUACGUGAUUAAAAACGUUUAAGGCGAUAAUAAAUAGUGAGUAAGGCACGAAUUAACUAAAUUAGGCUAUUGGAAUGCCUAGGAAUGUUUAUCUGACGCUACUGAGCGCGUAUGGUAAUCUUUGGGAAAUCUGCUGAGCGUUAAACGAUAACAAACUGACACCGAACGAAAUGCUGACAACGUCGACAAAUACGAGUUUUAUACGUUUGAUUUAAACAUAUGAAUUUGAUUUGGUGAAACUAUCAUGCUUUCGAAUGUCAUAAAGCGCAAACGCAAACGAAUGCAACAAAACAUUGACACCAACAAAAUUUUUCGUAAUUUUGACUUUAAAUAAACAAUUUACAACAUUCCACGAAGUUUGGAUCAACACGGGUCAACUCGGUUCGGGUUCGGGUCAACUGCGGUCAAACUCGGUCAACGUUGAUUUGGCGUCUCGGGUCAGCCGGCCAACGUGGUCAACUGCCGGUCAACGUGGUCAAGCUCGGGUCAACGGUCAAACCGGAACACACGUGUAUCGAGACUUUACCUUCACUCGGACUUAUAUAUAAGCAUGUCUAUACAAUUAGAAUAUAUAUUAGUUAAAACCAAACCGAUAUAUCAUGACAAUAUAUAUAUAUACAUAUAUAUAUAUAUAUAUAUAUACAUUCAAAGUCUUAGUUUUGUUUAUGAAGGUCUUGUAACUAGAAGAGCUAAAUAUUCUACAUAAUUUAUAAAUCAAGUUAUGUAUAUAUUUUAUUAGUUUUUAUAGAAUUCUCUAUAAAAAUCCCCACCAAAUAUUAGAUGUAUUACUUGUAUACAUAUCCAAGAUAUUGUGUAAAUCACAAUCAUAUCACCACCUUACCGUGCGGCCAAACCAUCCCCAAUCUCUUCAUACUUUUGUAAUUUCUUGAUUGAAAAUAACUAUGCCUUGAGAGUUGUUGUGAUGAUUGACAUGGACUCUUUGGGAUUUAAAAAUCACAUUCUCGUUCAAUUCAAGAAGCACCACCACAACAAAAAAAAAAUCACAAAGGUUACAAAACCCUCAUAUCUCUAUCUCUACGAUCACAUACACACAUUCAUACUUUCAUUUUUAUCAUAUUUCCACAUGUGUGAAUUACUAGAUAUUUUUGGUGGCCUAUGUAAUAAACACUUAUCCUCAUUUUGAAGCAAUACAACCCUCUCAAGCUCUCAUCUCUUUUCUCUAAGUAUACGACCAUACACAUAUACAACUAAACUUCCAUACAAAAAAUUGCUUCAAGAGUUUAAAGAAGGUCCAAGCAUCAGGAGGCGAUUGAAGCGAUUACAAGCCUUUUUCAUUCAUACGUUUUAGUGCCUUCCCUAGCUAGUCUAGUGGACAUGUUUGAGUCGAUGUAUCCAUUUUGGGCUUCGGUUGCUAGCACUUGCAUAUACGUGUUUCAGGUUGCAUUUUCAAAACUAUGGAACGGUUGGAAUAGGAGAACCCAUGGGAUUUCGGGUACUUAGCGGGCGUUCAUUGUUUAGAAGUCUUAGCUUAUUUGCUUCCGCUGUGCAAUGAAGAUACCGGUCCAGUCACGCUAGCUCUGAUAUUUCGGGGUGUGACAUCCUGUAACCUCCAUUAAUAGAUGUAAUGAAAAGGUAAUAAAAUUAGAAAUGUAA